CUUAGCUUGCUAAGGCUGAUGGCGACCGGCGCACGGGUGAGUAACACGUAUCCAACCUGCCGUCUACUCUUGGCCAGCCUUCUGAAAGGAAGAUUAAUCCAGGAUGGGAUCAUGAGUUCACAUGUCCGCAUGAUUAAAGGUAUUUUCCGGUAGACGAUGGGGAUGCGUUCCAUUAGAUAGUAGGCGGGGUAACGGCCCACCUAGUCAACGAUGGAUAGGGGUUCUGAGAGGAAGGUCCCCCACAUUGGAACUGAGACACGGUCCAAACUCCUACGGGAGGCAGCAGUGAGGAAUAUUGGUCAAUGGGCGAUGGCCUGAACCAGCCAAGUAGCGUGAAGGAUGACUGCCCUAUGGGUUGUAAACUUCUUUUAUAAAGGAAUAAAGUCGGGUAUGCAUACCCGUUUGCAUGUACUUUAUGAAUAAGGAUCGGCUAACUCCGUGCCAGCAGCCGCGGUAAUACGGAGGAUCCGAGCGUUAUCCGGAUUUAUUGGGUUUAAAGGGAGCGUAGAUGGAUGUUUAAGUCAGUUGUGAAAGUUUGCGGCUCAACCGUAAAAUUGCAGUUGAUACUGGAUGUCUUGAGUGCAGUUGAGGCAGGCGGAAUUCGUGGUGUAGCGGUGAAAUGCUUAGAUAUCACGAAGAACUCCGAUUGCGAAGGCAGCCUGCUAAGCUGCAACUG
rnacentral:rRNA from 1 species